rnacentral:rRNA from 1 species
GGUUGAUCCUGCCAGUAGUCAUAUGCUUGUCCUAAAGAUUAAGCCAUGCAUGUCCAAGUAUAAACCUUUGUACGGUGAAACUGCGAAUGGCUCAUUAUAUCAGUUAUAAUUUACAUGAUGAUGACUUGCUACAUGGAUAACCGUGGUAAUUCUAGAGCUAAUACAUGCGUUGAGCCCGCAAGGGCGGCAUUUAUUAGAUGAACCAGCGACAAUGGUGAAUCAUGAUAACUGAGCGGAUCGCAUGGCCUCGAGCUGGCGACGCUUCAUUGAAAUUUCUGCCCUAUCAACUUUGG